GCCCAUAUAGCUCAGUCGGUAGAGCACUUCCUUGGUAAGGAAGAGGUCACCGGUUCGAAUCCGGUUAUGGGCUCCA
rnacentral:tRNA from 5 species